AAAGAGUUCAGAGUAAAAUAGCAUAUUAGUAAUUCAGUUUCCAUACUCAUUUACUGCAUCACAGCUGUCAGUGAAAGGCAAUCAAAAGUUCAUGCUAUAUGCUAUGUUUGUAAAUAGUGAUGCUAUCUCAUUAUUUUCUGGCCUGUCUGCAAUUAACCUCUUAUUUUGAAGGUGAUGAAAAUGUUCCAUAAGAGUAUACUAUAUUUCAAACAUAUUUCAAAGCACAUCUUUUUUCACUUCAGUCAUUCAUGAGGGAAAUAAAUGUUUCCGUACUGAUUUGUAUGCAAGCCUGUCAUAAGUAAUUUUUGUCUUUAACAUCAUGGAUUUGAAGAAAGGAAUGAACUUUGUUAAUGGAUUAGUUCUAUGUGAUCGUUGUCUGAAUUUUGAUAGUUUCUGAGUCCUGAAGGUAAGUAAUGCAAGCAGUAAACUGGUUGAGAGCUGUAAGGAGAUGGUCUUGCCCCCGGGGCUGCCUAUGAUGAAGACUGGCCAGAGGCUGAUUCUGAAAUGAAGUCUCUGCACUGUCACUCAGGCCCUUAGGGAAAUACGCAGUACUCCAAUUUAGUACCACUUUGACAUUGUUUACACAAGCAAUAUAAUGCAGAAUUGCUAUUCUUUAAUUUUCAUCCUCACAUACAGUUUGGUGACAUAACCGUUUCAAAACUGAUACCCCGAGCAGUCUGUGUGUUUAAAAGUUGGUCUUCCAGACCUAAACUAAGCAUUUCAUCUUCCCUCUGUAGACAAAUGCAAUGCUCCAGAGAGCAAUUCACCUCAUCCUCAGAUGAUGAUUAUGAGAGAUGAGGCAAACUGUACCUCUGAGUCACCUGCUCUCCCAGAAACAAAGCUGGGAGUGAUGAGCUGUGACUUGGACAAGGAUCCUUUAACCUCAGGUAUUGCCUGGCCUGUUUUUAGUCCCUUUCUUCAGUGAGACAACUAUUCUAAACUAAUCAUCUGGGUUCUCACCUACAGACAGCAGAAAGAGAUGAGACUCUCGAGGGGAUGAUUCAUCCUCUUCAAUGAUAAGUAUCUGACACAGCCUGAAUGGAAAUUCUGGGCUCAGUUGUGCAAAGGAAAGAUUCUGGGACCUCCAUGAACCCCUUCUGCAGAUUUCAUCUGAGUAACUUUAUCAGUAACACGAUGAUCCUCUGGGCAGGAUUAAUUUCUGGACUACAGCAUCUGACCUGAGAUGACUCUAUGUGGGCUGUGUAACUUACUGUGCAGUCUGUGGGAGUUUGGUCAGCUUGGGAGGGACUCAGCUGGCCAGCAGUCUGCUUUGGAGCCAGAAGAAGUACUCUUGUAUUGAGUGGAUCUCUGCUCACUAAAGUGGGAGUUCAGCCCUCUAAUGUGCCUGUAAAUACCUAUACUUGGAGUUGGACGAGUUAAUUCUGUACUGAAUCUUUCUCUCUUAGGCUUUGCUAUUCUCCUCACACAAAUAGUAAAAACUACCUUUUCCUUUUCUUCAUUACUGAGCUUUUUUUACUGGAAGGGUUUGCUUUCUUGAAUGGGAAUAAACAUGCAAAGCUAUAGCAAUGUGAGUUCACAGUGUACCAGCUGUGAAGCAUUAAACCCACACGGACACUGAAUUUUACUUCACUGUAUGAUGAAGUAAACUGUAGCUCAGUAAGACACCUGAAUGCCUUCUGUUUUAAAGGCAAAUUAGGAAUGUGCACUGGCAGCCAGUUUGCCUAAUUUUAGCACAUCACUAGUCCUAGUUCUUAGGAUCUCAGUGAAGGUCUUCUGAACCAAAUAUCUUCAGAUGCCUCACUGAUUAAUGCCAAGAAAGAGAAGUAACUGUCCUCCAGAGAAAGACCCAACCAUACUUGGUUGCUUCUCUUUUAUAUACAGGACUUAAGUUGGUGAGAAGAGAAGGCUUGGGGGAGACCUCAUUGCAGCCUUCCAGUACUUGAAGGGAGCAUAUAAACAGGAAGGGGAACUGUGGGACAAAGAAAGACAUUAUGAACAAAAGACCUGGCAAAUGAGUAAACAAGCUUGGUAGCUACUUGUGCCACAUGUAAACAUGCACGAGGCUCCUGGUUGGUAAAUGUGACCAGGGAGUUGUUGCGCAAGUAUAAAAGGCUGUAAGCACAUACAAUAAAGGUCUUCGUUCUGCACCAGCAAUGGAGUCCAUGACUCUCCUGUCACAAAUGAUGCCCAAACAAUGACCCUAUAUCAGGGUCAACCUCAGGAGAUAAUCAGCUAUCAAGCUGACCGGUGGCAAGGAAUUAGCGCUGCUGAAAGGAAGUUGGACCCAAAAGUACUCAGUACAUGAUGUGGAUGGACUUUUGGAGAGAAUCUGCACAACAAAAGGCACUGGAGUGGAAGCUAUUGGAGCUCAGCAACUUGGAGCAGAGCAUGCAGACCCUAAGCCUAUUGCUCAUUCACCACUGCAAGAGAAGAAGGAUCAAACCUCCAGGUUUGGUGACGGUCAGUGCGUGGGAGCUGGAGCUGCAGAAAGCUGCUGCUGAGACAUAUGCUGGUGUUUGGACUCUCACUCAUUCCAGCUGUUGGCAUUGUUGCAAUGUAUUUUUCUGAACCUUUUAGCUGUUGUAGCAGUUGUUCAGUGCUCCAGAAAAUUCUAAGAUAGGUCUAACAACAUUGAAAGUAUGUUUGAAUGUUGUGCUAUGUCUGCAUUCUAAAUUAGAAAACAGUAUUUGCUAUAAAAUGAUGUGCAUUCAUGUGCAGUAGAUUGGCAAUGUAGGAAGUUUUCCCAUAAUUGGUUGUAUAAUCCAACUUGACUGGCUGAAUAUCUUCUGGUAUUUAAGAAUGUAAUGUGUAUAUUUACAACUGUAUGUCUUACCUGCACCUGCCUGGCUUUCAUAAUUCUGGUUCUGAAUAUGUAAUUUCAGUGAUUUAAAUAUAUAUAUAUGUAGUUCCCUAUUAAAAACUAAAAAUAAAGGCGGCAUUUAUGACCCCUGAGGAAAGAAUAGCUAAAGCAUGCUAUGUUCUUAAUUUUUUAAAUUGUUGGACACAGAUAACGGGGGGG
ensembl:lncRNA